GGAUUAGAUACCCUGGUAGUCCACGCCGUAAACUAUGAUUACUCGUUAUUGGCGAUAUACAGUCAGUGACUAAGCGAAAGUGAUAAGUAAUCCACCUGGGGAGUACGAUCGCAAGGUUGAAACUCAAAGGAAUUGACGGGGGCCCGCACAAGCGGUGGAGCAUGUGGUUUAAUUCGAUGAUACGCGAGGAACCUUACCAGGGCUUAAAUGUAGAUUGCUUUAUUUGGAAACAGAUAUUUCUUCGGACAAUUUACAAGGUGCUGCAUGGCUGUCGUCAGCUCGUGCCG
rnacentral:rRNA from 1 species